AUGAACGCUAGCGAUAGGCUUAACACAUGCAAGUCGAGGGGCAGCAUGGUCUUAGCUUGCUAAGACUGAUGGCGACCGGCGCAUGGGUGCGUAACGCGUAUGCAACUUGCCUCACAGAGGGGGAUAACCCGUCGAAAGACGGACUAAUACCGCGUACACUCCAUCUUGGGCAUCCAAGGUAGAGGAAAUGAAAUUCGCUGUGAGAUAGGCAUGCGUCCCAUUAGCUAGUUGGUGAGGUAACGGCUCACCAAGGCGACGAUGGGUAGGGGAACUGAGAGGUUGAACCCCCACACUGGUACUGAGACACGGACCAGACUCCUACGGGAGGCAGCAGUGAGGAAUAUUGGUCAAUGGGCGAGAGCCUGAACCAGCCAAGUCGCGUGAAGGAUGACUGUCUUAUGGAUUGUAAACUUCUUUUAUACGGGAAUAACAAGAGUCACGUGUGACUCCCUGCAUGUACCGUAUGAAUAAGCAUCGGCUAACUCCGUG
rnacentral:rRNA from 1 species